CUACGGGAGGCUGCAGUGGGGAAUAUUGGACAAUGGGCGAAAGCCUGAUCCAGCCAUGCCGCGUGUGUGAAGAAGGCCUUCGGGUUGUAAAGCACUUUCAGUGGGGAAGAAAGCCUUGGGGCUAAUACCCUCGAGGAAGGACAUCACCCACAGAAGAAGCACCGGCUAACUCCGUGCCAGCAGCCGCGGUAAUACGGAGGGUGCGAGCGUUAAUCGGAAUUACUGGGCGUAAAGCGCGCGUAGGCGGUCUGAUAAGCCGGUUGUGAAAGCCCCGGGCUCAACCUGGGAACGGCAUCCGGAACUGUCAGGCUAGAGUGCAGGAGAGGAAGGUAGAAUUCCCGGUGUAGCGGUGAAAUGCGUAGAGAUCGGGAGGAAUACCAGUGGCGAAGGCGGCCUUCUGGACUGACACUGACGCUGAGGUGCGAAAGCGUGGGUAGCAAACAGGAUUAGAUACCGUGUAGUC
rnacentral:rRNA from 1 species